AUGGCCGACAAGGAGAACGCGGCCCCCGCCGCGGAGGCUGGCCCCCGGCUCACCCGUGCCGCGGCCAAGCGCGCCGCCACCUGCUCCGCGGGCCCCUCCGGCGGCGCCAAGCGGAAGCGGGUGGCGCUCAGCGAGCUCCCCAUCGUCUCCAACGCGGGGGUCGUCCUCCGCCAGCCGUCGAAGCCCGCCAAGCCCGCGGCUGCGGCCAAGGGGGAGGAGGAGCGCGGGGGCUUGAGCAGGUGCGCGUCCACCUCGCCGACCCCCGCCGAGGAGGAGGUCAGCGGCGGCGGCGGCGGCAGCGAAACCCAGCUCAGCGGGUCCUACGCCUCCGACAUCUACACCUACCUCCGCACUAUGGAGGUGGAGGCGCCGCGCCGGCCGGCGGCAGACUACAUCGAGACCGUGCAGACGGACGUGACGGCCAACAUGCGGGCUAUCCUAAUCGACUGGCUCGUCGAGGUUGCCGAGGAGUACAAGCUCGUUGCCGACACGCUUUACCUCACAGUCUCCUAUGUCGACCGCUUCCUCUCCGCCAACCCGCUCGGCCGCAACAGGCUGCAGCUCCUUGGUGUCGCUGCAAUGCUCAUUGCCUCGAAGUACGAGGAGAUCAGUCCCCCGCAUGUGGAGGACUUCUGCUACAUCACGGACAACACCUACACCAGGCAGGAGCUUCUCACCAUGGAGAGCGACAUACUCAAGCUCCUCAACUUCGAGAUAGGCAGUCCGACCAUCAAGACCUUCCUCAGGCGGUUUACAAGAUCUGGCCCAGAAGACAAGAAGCGCUCCAGCUUAUUACUGGAGUUCAUGGGUAGCUAUCUUGCUGAGCUGAGUCUUCUGGACUACAGCUGUCUCCGGUUCUUGCCAUCAGUGGUUGCUGCUUCAUCACUUUUUCUUGCUAGGCUGACCAUUGGACCAGACACUAAUCCUUGGGGCAAGGAAAUGCAUAAACUGACAGGCUACAAGGCAUCAGAGCUGAAGGAUUGCAUUAUAGCCAUACAUGAUUUGCAGCUCAAUAGAAAGGGUCAAUCGUUACCAGCAAUUCGAGACAAGUAUAAGCAACACAGGUUCAAAUGUGUAUCGAUGUUGCUUCCUCCUGUCGAGAUCCCUGCAUCGUACUUCCAAGACUUAACAGAAUAG
rnacentral:rRNA from 1 species